rnacentral:rRNA from 1 species
UACAGAGGUCUCGAGCGUUAGGCGGAAUCACUGGGCUUAAAGCGUGUGUAGGCGGAUCGGUAAGUACCUUGUGAAAUCCCACGGCUUAACCGUGGAACUGCUUGGUAUACUGCCAGUCUUGAGCCAGCUAGGGGCUACCGGAACAAAUGGUGGAGCGGUGAAAUGCGUAGAUAAUCAUUUGGAACGCCAAUGGUGGAAAACAGGUAGCGUGGGGCUGUGCUGACGCUGA